rnacentral:rRNA from 1 species
CCUACGGGCGGCAGCAGUGGGGGAUAUUGGACAAUGGGGGGAACCCUGAUCCAGCGACGCCGCGUGAGUGAAGAAGUAUUUCGGUAUGUAAAGCUCUGUCAGCAGGGAAGAAAGAAAUGACGGUACCUGACCAAGAAGCCCCGGCUAACUACGUGCCAGCAGCCGCGGUAAUACGUAGGGGGCAAGCGUUAUCCGGAAUUACUGGGUGUAAAGGGAGCGUAGACGGUUAAGUAAGUCUGGAGUGAAAGGCCGGGGCACAACCCCGGGACUGCUCUGGAAACUAUUGAACUUGAGUGCAGGAGAGGUAAGCGGAAUGCCGAGUGGAGGGGUGAAAUGUGUAGAUAUGAGGAGGAACACCAGGGGCGAAGGGGGCUUACUGGACGGUAACUGAGGUUGAGGCUAGAAAGCGUGGGGAGAAAACAGGAUUAGAGACCCUGGUAGUC